UGUUGAAGGCUGUUUUUUCCCUCUCUGUUGAAGGCCUGUUGGCAUCUGUUAUCAAUUCUAGCUCCCUUUCCUCAGUUCAGUCCUGGAUCCUGCUGUGUAAUAUUCCACCCAGUCCAGCUGGGGUUUGUUGAUUUGCUUAAAAAAUAUUAAGCAACAUUUGUCAGAGGCACCUUGCUGCUUGGUAUAGGGACCUGGGGAUCACCCUGCAUUUGCAUGAACAUCUCUGCAGUACCCUUCCUGCGGCUCGCCUCUGGCUCACUCAGGUGGAUCUCUAAGCUGCUCCAGCAUGGUGGCAGCAGGAUGAUUGCGACACUCAGUUCCAUGUGCCCACGACCACCUUCCCCUUUGUGAGAGGCUUAUUGGCUAAUAGAAACCUGCUGGCUGUCUCCCCACCACCUCUCCUGGCGGAGACUAUUCCCUAGGACAAUUAUCAAAGCUGAGAAAGAGCUGACCAUGUUUUGCCAGAAUGGGGUGAAGGAAGUUGAGUUUGCACAAGGGCCAUCCUGUGUGUACAGUGCCCUCCAGCCAGACGUAGAUUCCUCUUUUUCCUCAUGCUAAUUAAAAGGGAAAUUUAUUUAAGACAUACCUUCAUAUUUCUCUCCACUACCUCCCCUGCCCUCCUUUCCCUCUCCCAUGCACACAUGUAGCUUCUGGUGGAACUUCUGAGACCUAACUGCUUCCUCUCACUUCCUCCCCUUUUCUCCGUUGAUCUAUCCUGUCCCCGGAUUUCUCAGUCCUUGCUUUCUUUUCUCUCUGCUCCCCACCGACCUUCCAGCCCUCGGCAUGGAUCAAGCC
rnacentral:lncRNA from 1 species